rnacentral:rRNA from 1 species
AUGUCCAUGAAGCUCGCCGCGUGCUCUCUCCUCCUUCCUCUAGUGCUUGCGGCGCUCCUCCACCCGGCUGAUGUCGUCGCUGUAGGUGAUGGCACACCAGACCGCGGUGGCGGUGGCUUCAGCCUGCGGCUGGUACCCAGCCACGGCUGGAACCGUAGCAUCCACGUCGACGACGACGGCUUCGUGCACCUGAAUGAGCACCCCACCACCGCGCUUCGGCCGCCCAUGCACACACAAAUUGGGGGCAAGUACAGCGUCGUCACCACCGUUGGGACGGGAGCGGGACGACGCACGUACGUCCUCGCGCUGGAUAUGACCAGCAGCGAACUGUGGAUGCAGUGCAAGCCGGUCCAAAAGCCUUUCGCACAGCAGCCGCCGCCCUUCGAGCCUGCCAAGUCGCCGUCGUUCCGCCAUGUACCCGGCAACAGCAGGUUAUGCUUGCCGCCCGCUCAUGGGCAUCGGCCCACAGUUCAAGACCCAUGCAAGUUUCGUAGCUUCGGACUUAACGGCACCGAUGCGAGAGGCGUCCUGAGCAACGAGACCUUGGCCUUCGCGGCCGCCGGCCAGGAGGCGGAGGUUGCUGGCGUCGUCAUUGGCUGCACGCACAGCAGCGACGGCUUCAACUUCAACAGCCACGGAGUGCUCGCCGGGGUGCUCGGCCUGGGAAGGCAGGCCCCGUCGCUCAUCUGGACGCUCGGCCAACACAGGCAUGUUGCCGUGCAAGUGCAUCGCUUCUCUUACUGCCUCCCUAGCCACGGCUCGCCGGACCACCACACCUUUCUUCGGUUCGGCGACGACAUCCCACACACCCAACACAUGGUGAGCACCAAGAUCUUGUACACGAGCUUCACCACUAGCCGAGAUUUCAGCGCCUACUUCGUCUCCCUCACGGGCGUCAGCGUCGGCGGGCGGCAGCUGGACCUGGAGCAUAUCGGGGAGCUGUUCAAGCGCCACAUCCAUGGUGGCAGGUGGACCGGCGGGUGCGCGUUCGAUGCUGGGACUGCGGCAAUGGUGAUGGUAGCGCCCGCUUACGAAAAGCUCAAGGACGCCGUGUUGGAGCACCUCAAGCCGCUAGGGGUGCCAACCGUGUCCCGCGUCGAGUACCACCUCUGCUUCCGCACGACAUCGCAGCUCUGGCAGCACCUGCCCACGGUGACGCUGCAGUUCGCCGAGCCUGAAGCGCGGCUCGUGCUGCCGCCACAACGGCUGUUCGUCGCAGUGGGGCACGACAUCUGCCUCGCCGUGGUGCGGAGCAACGACAUCACCAUCAUCGGCGCCAUGCAGCAAGUGGACAAGCGCUUUGUCUACGAUGUUAGAGAUGGCAGGAUCUACUUCGCCCCUGAGAAUGGAUGCCAUGCAGACGCCGGCCACCAGAUUUAA